rnacentral:misc_RNA from 1 species
AACGCACCUUGCGCUCCUUGGCUAUUCCGAGGAGCAUGCCUGUUUGAGUGUCAUUAUAUUCUCAACCCCACCAGCUUUUGUGGCUGGCUCUUGGGGCUUGGAUGUGGAGGUUUUGCUGGCCCUUUGGGUCAGCUCCUCUGAAAUGCAUUAGCGGAACUGUUUGCGAUCCGUCACAGGUGUGAUAAUUAUCUACGCCAGUGGGUUGCUUUCUGUCUGUUCAGCUUAUAAUCGUCCUGUUACUGGACAACUUAUUGAACGUUUGACCUCAAAUCAGGUAGGACUACCCGCUGAACUUAA